AUUGAACGGUGGCGGCAGGCCUAACACAUGCAAGUCGAGCGGAUGAAGGGAGCUUGCUCCUGGAUUCAGCGGCGGACGGGUGAGUAAUGCCUAGGAUUCUGCCUGGUAGUGGGGGAUAACGUCCGGAAACGGGCGCUAAUACCGCAUACGUCCUGAGGGAGAAAGUGGGGGAUCUUCGGACCUCACGCUAUCAGAUGAGCCUAGGUCGGAUUAGCUAGUUGGUGGGGUAAAGGCCUACCAAGGCGACGAUCCGUAACUGGUCUGAGAGGAUGAUCAGUCACACUGGAACUGAGACACGGUCCAGACUCCUACGGGAGGCAGCAGUGGGGAAUAUUGGACAAUGGGCGAAAGCCUGAUCCAGCCAUGCCGCGUGUGUGAAGAAGGUCUUCGGAUUGUAAAGCACUUUAAGUUGGGAGGAAGGGCAGUAAGUUAAUACCUUGCUGUUUUGACGUUACCAACAGAAUAAGCACCGGCUAACUUCGUG
rnacentral:rRNA from 1 species